AGUUACUGGUAGAAAGGCCCCAAGGCCGGGCUUCGGUGGCUGCAGUAGACUGGAUCUGGAUCUCUAAAUGGCAAUCUAUUGACAUGGCUGCCAGCGUAAUGGAACCCCUGAUUGAUACAUGGACCCAUGACUGUCCACAAGAAAGACUACAUUUCCCAACUCCCAUGCAUCUAGAUGUGAUGGCUUGAGCUGCAACAGCCAUCUUGGACGAUGAGGAGGAAGCCAUACAUGAAUGUGGCAGAAAAACAAGAGAAGAAGCUCGGCUCACUCAUGACUAUAGAGUUGCCAAAUCUUGCUUUCUUCAAGAAAAGUGUCUAAAUGACUUUCUUCCUAGCCUUCAGUGAGAAUCCAAAAACCUCUAUUGUUAGGAAAACCCCCAGGAAGGGCAGAAAGCAACUGAAACCUAGCUCCCCUCCUCACCCCUGUCCCUGCUCCCCAAAGACUAAAGGUUGGAUGGGCCUGGGUGAUAUGAUGACAUAUGCCAAUCUCGAUCACGUGCCAGAUGCCUCCAUGUCAAUCUUCUGGCUUCCCUGGGUCACACUGGAAGAAGGAUUGUCCUGGGCCACAUAUAAAAUACAUGAACACUAACAAUAGCUGAUGAGCUAAAAAAAAAAAAAAAGAAAUUGCGGCCGGGCGUGGUGGCUCAUGCCUGUAAUACCAGCACUUUGGGGGGCCGCGGUGGGCGGAUCAUGACGUCAGGAGAUCGAGACCUUCCUGGCUAAUACAGUGAAACCCCGUCUCUACUAAAAAUACAAAAAGUUAGCCAGGUGUGGUAACGGGCGGGCGCCUGUAGUCCCAGCUACUUGGGAGGCUGAGGCAAGAGAAUGGCGUGAACCCGGGAGGUGGAGCUUGCAGUGAGCCGAGAUCGCGUCACUGCACUCCAGCCUGGGCGACAGAGCGAGACGCCGUCUAAAAGAAAAAAAAAAAAGAAAAAGAAAUUGCAAAAAAACUCAUAAGUUUUAAGAAAGUUUACGAAUUUGAUUUGAGCCACGUGUAAUGCUGUCCCAAUGCAUCCUCGGGGCCGUAGGUCGGGCAAGCUUUUUCUACGUAACCAAGAAAUAAAAUUUGUUUUGCUUAUGCCAUUUAGUUUUGUGUGUGUGCGUGUGUGUGUUUUUUCUGCCACAUAUAUAGCUAAAUCUAGUCCUGAUUAUGUCAAAGGUUUUAUUUGAAUGUUUUUGUCCACCUGGCAAAAUCUUAUUUAUUCUUCAACACUCAUCUCAGUAUAAACUCUGUAACUACUUUUUU
rnacentral:lncRNA from 1 species